UACGUAGAGGGCCAGCGUUGCUCGGAAUUACUGGGCGUAAAGGGUUCGUAGGCGGUGCGGCAAGUUGGGAGUGAAAUCUCUGGGCUUAACUCAGGGGCUGCUUUCAAAACUGCCGCGCUCGAGUGCGAGAGAGGUCAGUGGAAUUGCAGGUGUAGCGGUGAAAUGCGUAGAUAUCUGGAGGAACACCGGUGGCGAAGGCGGCAUCCUGGACCGGCAUUGACGCUGAGGCGCGAAAGCCAGGGGAGCAAACGGG
rnacentral:rRNA from 1 species